GAUGAACGCUAGCUACAGGCUUAACACAUGCAAGUCGAGGGGAAACGACAUCGAAAGCUUGCCUUUGAUGGGCGUCGACCGGCGCACGGGUGAGUAACGCGUAUCCAACCUGCCCAUCACUUGGGGAUAACCUUGCGAAAGUAAGACUAAUACCCAAUGAUAUCUCUAGAAGACAUCUGAAAGAGAUUAAAGAUUUAUCGGUGAUGGAUGGGGAUGCGUCUGAUUAGCUUGUUGGCGGGGUAACGGCCCACCAAGGCAACGAUCAGUAGGGGUUCUGAGAGGAAGGUCCCCCACAUUGGAACUGAGACACGGUCCAAACUCCUACGGGAGGCAGCAGUGAGGAAUAUUGGUCAAUGGGCGAGAGCCUGAACCAGCCAAGUAGCGUGCAGGAAGACGGCCCUAUGGGUUGUAAACUGCUUUUAUAAGGGAAUAAAGUGAGAGUCGUGACUCUUUUUGUAUGUACCUUAUGAAUAAGGACCGGCUAAUUCCGUG
rnacentral:rRNA from 1 species